UACGUAGGGUGCAAGCGUUGUCCGGAAUUAUUGGGCGUAAAGAGCUCGUAGGCGGUUUGUCGCGUCUGCUGUGAAAACCCGAGGCUCAACCUCGGGCCUGCAGUGGAUACGGGCUGGCUGGAGGCAGGCAGGGGAGAAUGGAAUUCCCGGUGUAGCGGUGAAAUGCGCAGAUAUCGGGAGGAACACCGGUGGCGAAGGCGGUUCACUGGGCCUGUGCUGACGCUGAGGAGCGAAAGCGUGGGGAGCAAACAGG
rnacentral:rRNA from 1 species